UAAGACAGAGGUGCCAAGCGUUAGGCGGAAUCACUGGGCUUAAAGCGUGUGUAGGUGGAUGUCUAAGUGCCUUGUGAAAUCCCACGGCUCACCCGUGGAACUGCUGGGCAUACUGGAUGUCUUGAGCCACUUAGGGGUCGCUGGAACAAACGGUGGAGCGGUGAAAUGCGUAGAUAUCGUUUGGAACGCCAAUGGUGAAAACAGGCGACUGGGAGUGUGCUGACACUGAGACACGAAAGCCAGGGGAGCGAACGGGAUUAGAUACCCCGGUAGUCCUGGCCCUAAACGAUGUCCACUAGAUUAUGGUCUCUCUGACGGGAUCAUGGUCGAAGUAAAAAUGUUAAGUGGACCGCCUGGGAAGUACGGUCGCAAGGCUA
rnacentral:rRNA from 1 species